UACGGGAAGGCAGCAGUGGGGAAUAUUGGACAAUGGGCGAAAGCCUGAUCCAGCCAUGCCGCAUGAGUGAAGAAGGCCUUCGGGUUGUAAAGCUCUUUUAGUGAGAAAGAUAAUGACGGUACUCACAGAAGAAGUCCUGGCUAACUCCGUGCCAGCAGCCGCGGUAAUACGGAGAGGGCUAGCGUUAUUCGGAAUUAUUGGGCGUAAAGAGCGCGUAGGCUGAUUAGUAAGUUAAAAGUGAAAUCCCAAAGCUUAACUUUGGAAUUGCUUUUUAAAACUGCUAGUCUAGAGAUUGAAAGAGGAUAGAGGAAUUCCUAGUGUAGAGGUGAAAUUCGUAAAUAUUAGGAGGAACACCAGUGGCGAAGGCGUCUAUCUGGUUCAAAUCUGACGCUGAGGCGCGAAGGCGUGGGGAGCGAAACAGGGAUUAGAUACC
rnacentral:rRNA from 1 species